AGAGUUUGAUCAUGGCUCAGGACGAACGCUGGCGGCGUGCUUAACACAUGCAAGUGGAGCGACGAACCAGGGCUUGCCCUGGGGCAGAGCCGCGAACGGGUGAGUAACACGUGGGUAACCUACCCCGAUGACCGGGACAACCCGAGGAAACUCGGGCUAAUACCGGAUGUUCUCGCUUCUCGUAAGGGAAUCGAGCAAAGAUAGCUUCGGCCUUCGCAUCGGGACGGGCCCGCGGCCCAUUAGCUUGUUGGUGGGGUAACGGCCUACCAAGGCGACGAUGGGUAGCUGGUCUGAGAGGACGAUCAGCCACACUGGGACUGAGACACGGCCCAGACUCCUACGGGAGGCAGCAGUGGGAAAUCUUGCGCAAUGCGCGAAAGCGUGACGCAGCAACGCCGCGUGGGGGAAGAAGGCCUUCGGGUUGUAAACCCCUUUCAGUUGGGACGAAGCUUCGCCGGUUAAUAGCCGGCUGGAGUGACGGUACCUUCAGAAGAAGCCCCGGCUAACUACGUGCCAGCAGCCGCGGUA
rnacentral:rRNA from 1 species